rnacentral:rRNA from 1 species
UUAUUUGAGAGUUUGAUCCUGGCUCAGGACGAACGCUGGCGGCGUGCCUAAUACAUGCAAGUUGAGCGCUGAAGGUUGGUACUUGUACCGACUGGAUGAGCAGCGAACGGGUGAGUAACGCGUGGGGAAUCUGCCUUUGAGCGGGGGACAACAUUUGGAAACGAAUGCUAAUACCGCAUAAAAACUUUAAACACAAGUUUUAAGUUUGAAAGAUGCAAUUGCAUCACUCAAAGAUGAUCCCG